ensembl:lncRNA
CUCACGGAACCCUGAGCAUCCUCCUGUUGACUAAAUUUCCCCGGUGACGUCAGAGUGCACGUACAUCGUCCAUGUAAGUGAUGCUUCUGAAUGAAUGAGUGUCCCCUCCCACCUCCAAUACUAGUACUACGGGAUGUCUAUAAGAGCAGAUCGCCGGGACAGCCCGCUGAAUUGCAUGACAUGAGGAGUGAGGCGCAGGUGCCAGAAGCGAAAUUUAAAAAGAUCAAAAUCCGACAUAUAUUUUUUUUACAAGAAUGUAGUAGCAGUGCUGGCCAUGGGGUUUUAUUCAAGUCGUAAAGUGUAGAAAUCUCCGCUGGAGUUGAGAAGACCAUGGGAAAAUCUGUUGAUGUGAAAACACACAAAUCCCCACAGUCAACACUUCAAACAGUGGUCUACUGACGUCAAACCUAGAGUUCCUCAGUUGAGUUUGCAUAAGUGCACCCUAUGCUCCCGUCCGUGCAUAUCCGGUGGCUGACUCAUAGAUAAUCGGCAUGGAAAUCAAUUCUACAAACAAAACAAGUGGGCUAUGUAACCAUCAGUCUGGUCACACGUAGCCUCUGGCCUCUGGCAGGAAAGACAACGAUUCAAACCAAUGUGAGCUCUGUGUCAUGGUGUAUAAUCUGAUUUGUUUGAUAGUAAUUUGGGUGAGGGAUAUGCCAGGUGAUUAUAAAGAGCAU